UACAAGUGAGUUAUGGGUUAUGCCAAUAAAAACAUUGUUGUGUUUAUUUUGUUCGUUAAAAGUGCAUUGUAAUCACUUAAAAAUGCUCAGUUGCGGUAAAAAGCUGGAAACAACAAUAGAAACCAGGAGUUUAUGAUUGAAAACACUGCAAUCACGGAAAACAUUGCCCUUAAUGAAGAUGAAAUAGAUAACCUGCUAUUAGAUUCUGGGUUAGAGUAUGUACCUUCUCCUUCAAAUUCAACUCUUGAUGUUUAUUCAGAUGAGAUUACCGAUCGAGAAAAUAAUGAAAAAACGACAACUCCGACAUUAGAAAGCAGUAGCCAAAAGAAAAAAAGAAGCCUCCACCCAACAAAACCCA